rnacentral:misc_RNA from 1 species
CGCCCACCUCAGCUUGUUUGCUGCUUAAUCCCACUUCAGAUUGUGUGCCAGAGGCCAGAGUUGAAUAAUUCACCUUAGAUGUUCUUGAAGAGCUUCCAAUUUGCUGGCAAGAUUCUCUGGGAAUGCUAAAGACUGCCACACUAGGUUGCACAGAAUCAGAUGGAGCAGAAAUUAACUGAUCUCGAAUAGCACUUUUAUCCAGCUCAUCCAAUUCAAAACCCCACAAUGCCGCAAAAUCUUUAGCAGAGGGGCAUCCCAUGUAGCUACAUACACUCCUUUUCUGAUGCUGGGAAGAGACUCCAUGAAUGCUCCAGUCACAGAC